UCUAUGUAUAUUUUUAUAUGUGUGUUUGUGUGUAUGUGCAUGUAUAAAAUACCACAUUAUAACUGUUUUCAGACACUUAGAAAUUGUUUUUAUAAAGAAAUGAACCCACACAGAUAUUGAAAAUUUAUCCAAUCUCCGUCAACAUAAUUAUCUUAUUUUAAUUAAAACCUAAGGCUGAGUUUACUCAAGGAAAUGAUCCAGUUCUGUGAUUCUCCCUCAGACCCAGCAGCCAGAACACCAAACUUGACACUUAUAGAAAAAUGAAAAUGUUUGCUCUAAUUUUUUUUUUUGAGACAGUGUCUCAUUCUGUUGCCCAAGCUUGAGUGCAGUGGUGCAAUCACAGCUCACUACAGCCUCAACCUCCCAGGCUCAAGUAAUUCUCCUUCCUCAGCCUCCUGAGUAGCCUGGACUACAGAUGCGCACCACUACACUCAGCUAAUUUUUUAUUUUUUGUAGAGACAGGGAUCUCGCUCUGUUGCCCAGUCUGGUGCUGAACUCCUGGACUCAAUCAAUCUUCCCGCCUCAGCCUCCCAAAAUCCUGGGAUUACAGGUGCGGACCGCCAUGUCCAGCCCUAGCUCGAACUUUCAGUGUUUACGUUUCCAGAGAGGCGUCAUAAUGGAGAGAGGAUUUUGUUUCUCGGAAAGUCUUUCACAGUUGCCCAAAAUUCAUGUUCAAAAUGUGACUACCAAUUCCAGCAGUUGCAUAAAAGUGAAAAAUAUAUUUUUUAAAUACUAUAAAAAUCCCUGCAACAGAGAAGGAAUGCAACAUCGAUUGUAA
rnacentral:lncRNA from 1 species